rnacentral:rRNA from 1 species
CCCAAAUAUCUAAACGGAGAAAUUCAAUACCAUAUAUUUAUAUAUGGUGUGCACUUUUCUCUUAGUAAGACAUCGUGAUCCAUUAGAAAUUGAUACAUACAAAAUGUAUAUUAGAUCAUCAAUAGGCUAAUAUGAAGUUUAUUCGGAAUAAAUGGCAGGAUCUUUAACGGUCUUGUAUAUUAUCUGGUAAGCAUAUUAAUACCUGUAAUGAUUGUCUGAUGGAUUUUAAGGAUGAUAUUAUUAAUGUUUUACGGCAUUACUCGUUUUAUCGCGAGAUUUGAUAUCUAUCUGAUCAACGGUGGUUAAAUUUGGGAUACCUUUUGGACCCGUCUUGAAACACGGACCAAGGAGUCUAUCUAGUAUGCAAGUAAAUGGAUAUAAUAAAAUCUAUUUGCAUAAUAAACUUAACUGUUAUAUAUGGGAUUACGUUAAAUAUGUAGUAAUAUAUAUUUUACUUCCAUCCCGGGGUAUUUUUAUCAACAUAUACGCAAGUAUAUGGAAAAUAUACCAUGAGCAUACUGGAUACGACCCGAAAGAUGGUGAACUAUGCCUGAUCAGGUCGAAGUCAGGGGAAACCCUGAUGGAGGACCGAAGCAGUUCUGACGUGCAAAUCG